GUGCUCGCUUCAGCAGCACAUAUACUAAAACUGGAAUGGUACAGAGAAGAUUAGCAUGGCCCCUGUGCAAGUAUGACAUGCAAAUUCAUGAAGCAUUCCGUAUCUUU
rnacentral:snRNA from 1 species